GGUGACAGCGGAGGGAUCAUUACAAGAAGCCGAAAGGCUACUUAAAACCAUCGCGAACUCGUCCAAGUUGCUUCGGCGGCGCGGGACCCCUCGGGGGACCGCUGCGCCGCUUCCCCCCCGGGGGUCGCGGGGCGCCCGUCGGAGGUCACAAACUCUCCUGUAUUAUAGUGGAUCUCUGAGUACAAAACAAAUAAGUUAAAACUUUCAACAACGGAUCUCUUGGUUCUGGCAUCGAUGAAGAACGCAGCGAAAUGCGAUAAGUAAUGUGAAUUGCAGAAUUCAGUGAAUCAUCGAAUCUUUGAACGCACAUUGCGCCCGCUAGUACUCUAGCGGGCAUGCCUGUUCGAGCGUCAUUUCAACCCUCAAGCCCUGCUUGGUGUUGGGGCCCUACGGCUGCCGUAGGCCCUGAAAGGAAGUGGCGGGCUCGCUACAACUCCGAGCGUAGUAAUUCAUUAUCUCGCUUAGGGCGUUGUGCGGUGCUCCAGCCGUUAAAGACCAUCUUUAACCCAAGGUUGACCUCGGAUCAGGUAGGAAUACCCGCUGAACUUAAGCAU
rnacentral:rRNA from 1 species